ACCUGCCGGUUCCCUUUCCCGUCGGAUCUGAACACUGGUCUUGGUGGUCUUAAAAGGAGGAAUGGUGGUACUGAAGCUAUACUCACAGUCCAUGUAUCCACUAUAUAGCUUGUGGGCUAGUUUCAUCAGGG
ensembl:snoRNA